UUCGGAGGCACCUGCACGAGGUGCUGCAUGGCUGUCGUCAGCUCGUGUCGUGAGAUGUUGGGUUAAGUCCCGCAACGAGCGCAACCCUUAUCCCUAGUUGCCAUCAGGUAAAGCUGGGAACUCUGGGGAGACUGCCGGUGAUAAACCGGAGGAAGGCGGGGAUGACGUCAAGUCCUCAUGGCCCUUACAUCCCGGGCUACACACGUGCUACAAUGGCAGGUACAGAGGGCUGCGAAGCCGCGAGGUGGAGCGAAUCCCAGAAAACCUGUCUCAGUCCGGAUUGAAGUCUGCAACUCGACUUCAUGAAAGCGGAAUCGCUAGUAACCGCGAAUCAGCAGGUCGCGGUGAAUACGUUCCCGGGCCUU
rnacentral:rRNA from 1 species